rnacentral:rRNA from 1 species
AGCAGCCGCGGUAAUUCCAGCUCCAAUAGCGUAUAUUAAAGUUGUUGCAGUUAAAAAGCUCGUAGUUGAAUUUCGGGACCAAUAUGUCGGUCGUGCCUCGGUACGUACUGGUGUCAUUGGUUUCUCCCUUCUGAGGAUCCUUGAUGUCAUUAAUUUGGUGUCUUGGGGAAUCAGGACUGUUACCUUGAAAAAUUAGAGUGUUUAAAGCAGGCAUACGCUUGAAUACAUUAGCAUGGAAUAAUGAAAUAGGACGUUCGAUUCUAUUUUGUUGGUUUCUAGGAUCGACGUAAUGAUUAAUAGGGAUAGUUGGGGGCAUUAGUAUUCAAUUGUCAGAGGUGAAAUUCUUGGAUUUAUUGAAGACUAACUACUGCGAAAGCAUUUGCC